CAGGAAUGCCAGAGAGUCCCAAACAGGAUCAAUCCAAAGAGGAUCACACCAAACACAUUAUAAUUAAAAUGGCAAAAAAUAAAGGUAAACAGAGAAUAUUAAAAGCAAGGGAAAAGCAACAAAUUACAUAUAAGGGAACUCCCAUAAGGCUAUCAGCUGACUUUUCAGCAGAGAUUCUGCAGGCCAGAAGACAGUGGCAUGUUAUAUUUAAGUGAUGAAAAAUCUACAACUAAGAAUAAUCUAGAUGGCAAGAUUUUCAUUCAGAUUUGAUGGAGAGACCAAAACUUUUACAGACAAGCAAAGGCUGAAAGAAUUUAGCACCACUAAAUCA